UACGUAGGGUGCAAGCGUUGUCCGGAAUUACUGGGCGUAAAGCGCGCGUAGGUGGUUCGUUAAGUUGGAUGUGAAAUCCCCGGGCUCAACCUGGGAACUGCAUUCAAAACUGACGAGCUAGAGUAUGGUAGAGGGUGGUGGAAUUUCCUGUGUAGCGGUGAAAUGCGUAGAUAUAGGAAGGAACACCAGUGGCGAAGGCGACCACCUGGACUGAUACUGACACUGAGGUGCGAAAGCGUGGGGAGCAAACAGG
rnacentral:rRNA from 1 species